GAUGAACGCUGGCGGCGUGCCUAAUACAUGCAAGUCGAGCGAACAGACGAGGAGCUUGCUCCUCUGACGUUACCGGCGGACGGGUGAGUAACACGUGGCUAACCUACCUCUAAGACUGGACUACCUUCGGGAAACCGGAGCUAAUACUGGAUAAUCUAUCGACCCGCAUGGUUCAAUAGAGAAUGACGGUUUUGCUGUCAACUAUAGAUGGAUCCGCGCGUCAUUAGCUUGUUGGUAAGGUAACGGCUUAACAAGGCAACGAUGCGUAGCCGUCCUGAGAGCGGGAUCGGCCACACUGGAACUGAGACACGAUCCAGAGUCCUACGGAAGGCAGCAAUAGGGAAGCGUCCGCAAUGGGCGAAAGCCUGCCGGAGCAGCGCCGCGUUGGUGAUGAAGGUCUGCGGAUCGUAAGACUCUGUUAGUGUGGAAGAACAAAUGUGUAAGUAACUAAGCUCUUCUUGACGGUACCUAAUCAGAAAGCCACGGCUAACUACGUG
rnacentral:rRNA from 1 species